rnacentral:rRNA from 1 species
AAAGCGUGCGCAGGCGGUUAUACAAGACAGGCGUGAAAUCCCCGGGCUUAACCUGGGAAUGGCGCCUGUGACUGUAUAGCUAGAGUGUGUCAGAGGGGGGUAGAAUUCCACGUGUAGCAGUGAAAUGCGUAGAUAUGUGGAGGAAUACCAAUGGCGAAGGCAGCCCCCUGGGAUAACACUGACGCUCAUGCACGAAAGCGUGGGGAGCAAACAGGAUUAGAUACCCCGGU